UGUUUCCCCGGGCAGCUGUCCUAACUUGGCCUCAAAUAAAAAUCUCUUUCCUACUUUUAGAGAUUCUAAAAGGUUUGUUCAUUUUGUGUCGAUACCUUCAGGGUAUGAGGAAUUCACAGGUCCUCCAGAGGUAAACAAUCAGGCUCAAGGACACUCACUGCAAACUAAAGAAUAUUCCAGAUAAAGGAGACAUUGGUUUCUAUAGUUUCUCCUCUGAAUACUAGCAGAUUAUAUCAUCAAUUUCAGAGGGAAUGACUAAAAAUGAAGAACAUAAUAUUUUCAUAAUAAAUACAAUGUGUGGUAAAAACACUACUCAUGGGCAUGGAAAGGAGUAGAUACAGAAAUGGGAGUUUUUAUUGCUUUCGUCAAAUACUUACAGAACAAUAGAAUUCGGAAAAAUUUGUAAAGAGUUCCAAAAUACACAGCCCACUCAGCAAUAAAAGAAGAAGAAGAAGAAGAAGAAGAAAAAAAAAAAAAAAAAAACCUGGGAUAUAAGCAAGACAUCCAGAAUACAGAAGAUGAGAAAACAGACCACGGUUGACCCUGGGAGGAAAGAUAGAACUGCAAUGACUUGUCAAAGAGGAGAGGUAAUCCUGGGACACUUCUAAGGGAGAGGUCAGGAGCUGGAAUGAACCAUCAGAGCUGUCCCCCUUUGGAGUAAAGUGGCCAAGCCCUCCUAUUCCCACCCGGAUUUGUCAGUGAAUUUGGGCCACCCUCAGGCUGCACACCAUGGGCAAGGGGCUCCCCUGAAACCGAGAGGUAACCCCUGACAGCACCUGCAGAUAGCCCUGCCAGCAGCUGGGGCGUCUUGAAGGCAGAUCCAUCCAGCACACUCUGUGCCCAUCACAAUACAUUUCCUGGACACUUACACUCCAUGCGCCCCAAAGUUCUCACCUGCUACUUCUCCCUUAAUUUCUUCCUGAUGGCCUAAGAGGAUUGGGUUACAGGCUGAGAGGAUGUGAAGAGCCCCAUCUAAGGGACCUAACAGUGCUCAAAGUUAUGACAUUUUAUAGCAUUCUUCGUGUGAUUGAUUUUUAGUUUCAAUGGCCUUCUAGAAAAGAUGGUUGAUAAUUUCAAUCUUCUUUAAUUCAUUAAGACUUGUUUUGUGGCCUAACACACAGUCUGUCCUGGUGAAUGUUCCACGUGCCCUUGAGAAGAAUGUGUGUUGUUGCUUUUGGAUGAAAGGCUCCAUAUAUACCCAAAUCCAUCUGAUCUAACAUAUCACGCAAGGCUGAUGUUUCCUUAUUGAUUUGUGUCUGGAUGAUAUAUCUCCGUUGAUGUAAGUGGAAUACUAAAGUCCCCUACUAUUACUGUACUGCUAUUUCUCUCUUCAGGCCUGUUAAUAUUUGCUUUAUGGAUUUAGGUGCUAUGUUGUGUGCAUACAUAUUUACAUGUUACAUCGUCUUAUUAGAUUGACUUCCUUAUCUCAUGUAACACCUUUCUUUGUCUCUUAUUAGUCUUUGCUUUAAAGUUGACUUUGUCCAGGGGCACCUGGGUGGCUCAGUGGUCGAGCAUCUGCCUUUGGCUCAGGCCGUGACCCCUGGGGCCUGGGAUUGAGUCCUGCAGGGAGCCUGCUUCUCCCUCUGCCUCUCUGUG